rnacentral:rRNA from 1 species
GAUGAACGCUGGCGGCGUGCCUAAUACAUGCAAGUCGAGCGAACAGACGAGGAGCUUGCUCCUCUGACGUUAGCGGCGGACGGGUGAGUAACACGUGGAUAACCUACCUAUAAGACUGGGAUAACUUCGGGAAACCGGAGCUAAUACCGGAUAAUAUAUUGAACCGCAUGGUUCAAUAGUGAAAGACGGUUUUGCUGUCACUUAUAGAUGGAUCCGCGCCGCAUUAGCUAGUUGGUAAGGUAACGGCUUACCAAGGCAACGAUGGGUAGCCGACCUGCGAGGGUGAUCGCCCACACGGGAACUGAGACACGGUCCAGAGUCCUACGGGAGGCAGCAGUAGGGAAUCUUCCGCAAUGGGCGGAAGCCUGACGGAGCAACGCCACGUGAGUGAUGAAGGUCUUCGGAGCGUAAAACUCUGUUAUUAGGGGAGAACAAAUGUGUAAGUAACUAUGCACGUCUUGACGGUACCUAAUCAGAAAGCCACGGCUAACUACGUG